rfam:Plasmodium falciparum 3D7 chromosome 8
ACUUGUGGCUGCCGAGCGAUAUUUUUAGCAACGUAGCUUUUUGAUAUGAGAAUGUUGGCUCUUCCUAUCAUUGAGAAGAAGAAAUCUCAAAGUGUCGGAUUGUUCAACCGUUAAAAGGGAACGAGAGCUGUAAAAAAAAAUUUUUUCUUUUUUUUUUAAUAACCAUCACGAGAUAGGUU